UACAUAGGGGGCAAGCGUGGUUCGGAAUUACUGGGCGUAAAGGGCGCGUAGGCGGCCUUCUAAGUCGAACGUGAAAUCCCCGGGCUCAACCCGGGAACUGCGUCCGAUACUGGAAGGCUUGAAUCCGGGAGAGGGAUGUGGAAUUCCAGGUGUAGCGGUGAAAUGCGUAGAUAUCUGGAGGAAAACCGGUGGCGAAGGCGACAUCCUGGACCGGUAUUGACGCUGAGGCGCGAAAGCCAGGGGAGCAAACGGG
rnacentral:rRNA from 1 species